GACGAACGCUGGCGGCGUGCCUAAUACAUGCAAGUCGAGCGAGCUUGCCUAGAUGAAUUUGGUGCUUGCACCAGAUGAAACUAGAUACAAGCGAGCGGCGGACGGGUGAGUAACACGUGGGUAACCUGCCCAAGAGACUGGGAUAACACCUGGAAACAGAUGCUAAUACCGGAUAACAACACUAGACGCAUGUCUAGAGUUUAAAAGAUGGUUCUGCCAUCACUCUUGGAUGGACCUGCGGUGCAUUAGCUAGUUGGUAAGGUAACGGCUUACCAAGGCAAUGAUGCAUAGCCGAGUUGAGAGACUGAUCGGCCACAUUGGGACUGAGACACGGCCCAAACUCCUACGGGAGGCAGCAGUAGGGAAUCUUCCACAAUGGACGCAAGUCUGAUGGAGCAACGCCGCGUGAGUGAAGAAGGGUUUCGGCUCGUAAAGCUCUGUUGGUAGUGAAGAAAGAUAGAGGUAGUAACUGGCCUUUAUUUGACGGUAAUUACUUAGAAAG
rnacentral:rRNA from 1 species